GCCUCAUUGGCUCAGGGGCAGAGCGUCUGUCUAGUAAACAGAAGGUCGCUGGUUCGAUUCCAGCAUGAGG
rnacentral:tRNA from 1 species